UAGGGAAUCUUCCACAAUGGACGCAAGUUUGAUGGAGCAACGCCGCGUGAGUGAAGAAGGUUUUCGGACCGUAAAGCUCUGUUGUUGGUGAAGAAGGAUAGAGGUAGUAACUGGCCUUUAUUUGACGGUAAUCAACCAGAAAGUCACGGCUAACUACGUGCCAGCAGCCGCGGUAAUACGUAGGUGGCAAGCGUUGUCCGGAUUUAUUGGGCGUAAAGCGAGCGCAGGCGGAAGAAUAAGUCUGAUGUGAAAGCCCUCGGCUUAACCGAGGAAUUGCAUCGGAAACUGUUUUCUUGAGCGCAGAAGAGGAGAGUAGAACUCCAUGUGUAGCGGUGGAAUGCGUAGAUAUAUGGAAGAAUACCAGUGGCGAAGGCGGCUCUCUGGUCUGCAACUGACGCUGAGGCUCGAAAGCAUGGGUAGCGAACAGGAUUAGAUACCCUGGUAGUCCAUGCCGUAAACGAUGAGUGCUAAGUGUUGGGAGGCUUCCGCCUCUCAGUGCUGCAGCUAACGCAUUAAGCACUCCGCCUGGGGGAGUACGACCGCAAGGUUGAAAC
rnacentral:rRNA from 1 species